UUUUUUUGUAAAUUUGGUCUCAGAAUAUUUCUGGAAGGGUGACGUUUCGAAGAAGCCACUGCUGGGACCGGCUUCCAUUGCAGUCUCUUAUGCUGGGCACCUGGCUGUCCUCUUCUGUGGCUUUAUCCAGGCACUGAUUACUGUUCACAUGCUGCAGGGUUAAUUUCUGAAAGUGACAGAAAAGAAAUCUUAAUAUGAAUGUGACCAAAAAAACUCAAACAUCUGAAUCAUCAUUUCUGGGACUGUCGUCAUUGUGCUCAAGAGGACCCAGUCAGCACUAACUAGUCUCCACACAAAAAGCGCUUAAUUAAGGCAACUAGAAAGGACAGAGACACGCAUCCAGGCAGAAGCGCCUGAUGUCAUAACAGAAUGUGACAUAUAAUACAAAGAAGACUCGAAGAUGUAAGAAUAUAUAAAUCUAAGCAAAGACAGAAUGGUACUUGCAAAGAAUCCGGGAUCAUGAGUUCCAGGUCCGUCUGAGACCCGGUGCCUCAUUUUACCUGCCCGGUGAGCCUGGGCUUCAGGGACUCCACACGUAGAAAACAAGGGCGUGGGAUUUAUUUCUAUGCUUCCCUUGGAGCCUACCGUUUCAUGAUUUUAGGUUUAGAUUAUAAAUCACUGACACGAAUAUUUUAUUUUUCCAGACUGUUGUGGUUUAGACUGAUGGAGGCAGGAUACCACAGACAGGCUGUCCCGGAGCUCCAUAUGCAGUUGGCUCGGGCUAUAGGACCUGCAUCACAGAGUGACUCCUCCCUGUGCCCAAUUCUGCCUUGUCCUUUUCACAGGUGUUGAUCCAAAGAGUGCUCCCUAAUAAACACUGUGCACACUGAACUUGA